rnacentral:rRNA from 1 species
UACGUAGGUGGCAAGCGUUGUCCGGAUUUACUGGGUGUAAAGGGCGUGUAGGCGGGCUGUCAAGUCAGAUGUGAAAUCUAUGGGCUUAACCCAUAACGUGCAUUUGAAACUGAUAGUCUUGAGUGAUGGAGAGGCAGGCGGAAUUCCUAGUGUAGCGGUGAAAUGCGUAGAUAUUAGGAGGAACACCAGUGGCGAAGGCGGCUUCCUGGUCUGUAACUGACACUGAGGCGCAAAGCGUGGGGAGCAAACAGGAUUAGAUACCCU